UACAGAGGUCUCAAGCGUUGUUCGGGAUUCAUUGGGCGUAAAGGGUGCGUAGGCGGCGCGGUAAGUCGGGUGUGAAAUCUCGGAGCUUAACUCCGAAACUGCAUUCGAUACUGCCGUACUUGAGGACUGGAGAGGAGACUGGAAUUUACGGUGUAGCGGUGAAAUGCGUAGAUAUCGUAAGGAAGACCAGUGGCGAAGGCGGGUCUCUGGACAGUUCCUGACGCUGAGGCACGAAGGUCAGGGGAGCAAACGGG
rnacentral:rRNA from 1 species